AUUGAACGCUGGCGGCAUGCCUUACACAUGCAAGUCGAACGGCAGCACGGGAGCAAUCCUGGUGGGCGAGUGGCGAACGGGUGAGUAAUAUAUCGGAACGUGCCCAGUCUGGGGGAUAACGUAGCGAAAGCUACGCUAAUACCGCAUACGAUCUAUGGGAUGAAAGCGGGGGAUCGCAAGACCUCGCGCGAUUGGAGCGGCCGAUAUCAGAUUAGGUAGUUGGUGAGGUAAAGGCUCGCCAAGCCGACGAUCUGUAGCUGGUCUGAGAGGAC
rnacentral:rRNA from 1 species